UACGUAGGGGGCGAGCGUUGUCCGGAUUUAUUGGGCGUAAAGAGCGUGUAGGCGGCCAGGUAGGUCUGCUGUGAAAACUCGAGGCUCAACCUCGAGACGUCGGCGGAAACCAUCUGGCUAGAGUCCGGAAGAGGAGAGUGGAAUUCCUGGUGUAGCGGUGAAAUGCGCAGAUAUCAGGAAGAACACCCGUGGCGAAGGCGGCUCGCUGGGACGUAACUGACGCUGAGACGCGAAAGCGUGGGGAGCAAACAGG
rnacentral:rRNA from 1 species